GUAUAUCGUUACUCUUGAAAAUAUUUCACAAAUCAUUUUUUUUUUUCCAUAAACGUAACUACAAAUUUCAGAAGAUAUGAGAAGUUUGAUGUUCCAAUGGCCUACACUUAGAGCAACAAUGAUUGAUGUUGCAAUAGCUUGGUCUGCAAGUUUUUACCGCUACCAUUUGUUCUUGACUUCUUUCAUGGGUUUUGGUUAGUAUAUGCAGGGAUUUGUUCUUUGGUUGGUUUACAAGAGGGAACUUUACUAUGAAAAAGGUAAGAAAUAUGGGCAAUCACCGACUCUUGAUAUCUAUCAAAUUCGUUUUCCUUAUCAUUCAUUGUGGUUUUGUUUUCUUUUCUUGUGUUGUAUUGAGGGCACUAAAUCUUUUAAAGGUAAGAAAUCGAGUUUAGAUUUGACAAUACUUGUCUAUUUUUUAUUUCUAUUAGAAUUCAAUCAUCACUCUGAUUUUGGUUCUACUUUCUUUGUUCGUCAAGGAAAACAUGAAU
rnacentral:sRNA from 1 species